GCUGAUUCAGAUAGCCAUGCACGUCUAAGUACAAACUAAAUGAUGGUGAAACUGCAAAUGGCUCAUUACAACGGUUAUGAUGUACCCGGGAGUUCCGAUGGAUAUUUCCAGUAACACUAGAACUAAUACAUGUCCCUGCGUUUAUUAGUUUCGCACAGUCCGUCGCUGAGUCAUGGUAAACAGUUGAUCGACUCGACGUCCCGGAACAGUUUCCGCCCCAUCAGCUUCGAUGGUUGGGUAUUGGCCUACCAUUGCAACAACGGGUAACGAGGAAUUAGGGUUUGAUUUCGGAGAGGGAGCCUGAGAAACGGCUACCACAUCUACGGAUGGCAGCAGGCGCGCAAAUUACCCAAUGCAGACACUGUGAGGUAGUGACGAGAAAUAAUAAAGCGGGACUUCUGUUUCGCUAUUAUAAUGAGGAAUAACCAAAGGUCAUUCCGAUUAGCAACUGAUGGGAAAGUCUGGUGCCAGCAGCCGCGGUAAUACCAGCGUCAGUAGCA
rnacentral:rRNA from 1 species